rnacentral:rRNA from 1 species
AUGAUAGGUAUUUUUUGGAACAUUAGAGGGCUGAAUGGCCCAAAAGUGGACAAAUUGAAAGAGCUCAUUAGAGCCAAUAGUCCUGAUUUUGUUUGUAUUUCUGAGACCAAGAAAGAAGAGUUUACUCUUCUUCAACUUGAAGCUUUUGAUCCCAAAUCUGAAUUCCAAUGGAAAUGGCUUCCUGCAAUUAACACUGCAGGAGGGAUUUUAAUUGGAUGUAAACUAGAUAUAUUUGACUUAGUCCAAUGGGAUUUACAUAGAUUCAGUAUUUCUUGCCUACUUAAAAAUAAACAAGAUUCCUCUGUUUGGAGGCUUGUUAAUGUCUAUGGUUCUGCCUAUGACCAGUUUAAAAUGGAUUUCAUUAAUGAACUCCACUCUUUGCUGACUGACUGGACAGGGCCCACCCUGGUAGGGGGUGAUUUCAAUCCUAUUAGAGAGACUAGUGAUAAAAACACUGGUGCUAUUAAUCAACACUGGGCUGACCUCUUUAAUGAUUGGAUAAAUAGAUUUGGUUUAUUGGAGCUCAAGAUUAAUGAGAGGAAGUACACUUGGGGCAAUAACCAGGAUAAUCUAGUGAUGGCUACUAUAGAUAGAGUAUUUAUGUCCACUGACUGGGCUUCUGCUUCCCCUGGAGUGCACCUUAAAGCCUUGCCUAGGCUAGGGAGUGAUCACACUCCUCUGGUGCUCAAUACCUGUGCUUUUCCCAUCCCAAAGACCAAGCAUUUCAGAUUUGAAAAAUGGUGCUUGGAAGUAUAG